AGAACGCUGAAGGAGGAGCUUGCUCUUCUGGAUGAGUUGCGAACGGGUGAGUAACGCGUAGGUAACCUGCCUGGUAGCGGGGGAUAACUAUUGGAAACGAUAGCUAAUACCGCAUAAUAGUAGAUGUUGCAUGACAUUUGCUUAAAAGGUGCAAUUGCAUCACUACCAGAUGGACCUGCGUUGUAUUAGCUAGUUGGUGGGGUAACGGCUCACCAAGGCGACGAUACAUAGCCGACCUGAGAGGGUGAUCGGCCACACUGGGACUGAGACACGGCCCAGACUCCUACGGGAGGCAGCAGUAGGGAAUCUUCGGCAAUGGACGGAAGUCUGACCGAGCAACGCCGCGUGAGUGAAGAAGGUUUUCGGAUCGUAAAGCUCUGUUGUAAGAGAAGAACGAGUGUGAGAGUGGAAAGUUCACACUGUGACGGUAUCUUACCAGAAAGGGACGGCUAACUACGUGCCAGCAGCCGCGGUAAUACGUAGGUCCCGAGCGUUGUCCGGAUUUAUUGGGCGUAAAGCGAGCGCAGGCGGUUAGAUAAGUCUGAAGUUAAAGGCUGUGGCUUAACCAUAGUACGCUUUGGAAACUGUUUAACUUGAGUGCAAGAGGGGAGAGUGGAAUUCCAUGUGUAGCGGUGAAAUGCGUAGAUAU
rnacentral:rRNA from 1 species